rnacentral:tRNA from 1 species
GGUCUGUAGCCCAAUUGGAAGAGGCAGCGGAUUUAGACUCCGUACAGUGUGGGUUCGACUCCCACCAGACCCA